AACCGGGCUAAUACCGAAUAACACUUUGACCUCAUGGUCGAAUGUUAAAGACGGUUUCGGCUGUCACUACAGGAUGGGCCCGCGGCGCAUUAGCUAGUUGGUGAGGUAACGGCUCACCAAGGCAACGAUGCGUAGCCGACCUGAGAGGGUGAUCGGCCACACUGGGACUGAGACACGGCCCAGACUCCUACGGGAGGCAGCAGUAGGGAAUCUUCCACAAUGGACGAAAGUCUGAUGGAGCAACGCCGCGUGAGUGAAGAAGGAUUUCGGUUCGUAAAACUCUGUUGCAAGGGAAGAACAAGUAGCGUAGUAACUGGCGCUACCUUGACCGGUACCUUGUUAGAAAGCCACGGCA
rnacentral:rRNA from 1 species